rnacentral:misc_RNA from 1 species
UGACUCUCGUAUUGACGCCCCA